AUGUCCAUGUCUAGUUCGGCCUCUCCGUCAUCAUGGCCGCGGUAUGGUUCACUGCCGAUGACCAGAUGCCCCGACUUCCCACGCAUCACGCCACUGAAGCGUUUGACAACCAUAUCAGAGAAGAAUGGAAACCAUGGGCGGGAAUUUGUGAAAUGCGAGAGCAAACCAGAAGCGGGGAAGAAGCUGAAAACAUGCAAGCAUUUUGAGUGGCUGGAUGAAUACGUUGAGAGGCUUCAAACGGAUGGCUUAAUUGAUUUGCCCAUUGAUUUGAGGCACGGGGCAACCCUAGAGGCAGAUCUGCCAUCGACGGUGGAUAAUAAGGGCUAUGCCAAUGUUCCUCUGAUGGUGGCGGAUGCGGAACUCAAGGUGGAAUUGAAGAAGAUGAACAAGAACUUAAGGCAGUUGAUCGAUCUGAAUAAGCGCGCAAAUCUGAUGGCCGCGGGAUUUUAUUUUUCAAUAAUUGUUGUGGGAUUUGUU
rnacentral:rRNA from 1 species